AGUUGCGAAGGCGGCUCUCUGGACUGUAACUGACGCUGAGGCACGAAAGCGUGGGGAGCAAACAGGAUUAGAUACCCUGGUAGUCCACGCUGUAAACGAUGAGUACUAGGUGUCGGGGGUUACCCCCCUCGGUGCCGCAGCUAACGCAUUAAGUACGCCGCCUGGGAAGUGAGCGCGCAAGAGGGACACUCAAAGGAAUUGCCGGGGACCCGCACAAGUGGCGGAGCAUGUGUUUUAGUUCGAAGCAACGCGAAGACCCUUACCUAAGCUUGACGUCCCAAUGACAUCGCCUUAAUCGGAGAGUUCCCUUCGGGGACAUUGGUGACAGGUGGUGCAUGGUUGUCGUCAGCUCGUGUCGUGAGAUGUUGGGUUAAGGCCCGCAAC
rnacentral:rRNA from 1 species